rnacentral:lncRNA from 1 species
AAUCAAACUGGACUUAUAGAGCAAAUAAAAAUCCCUUGGGAAAACUGGCCUCAUACCUUGUCUACACAGUUCCUGUACAGGGUUCCUGACCAGUGGAAUCUGAAGCCACCUUAAGGCAAAGGAAUGACUUCCAUGGAAUACAGAUGAAGUUGGUAAAAGGAAAUACAAAGGAGAAAAAGUACAUUUGUUCUGUUCUAUGACUAUUACUCUGAUACACUGGUAAUGCUAUGAUGAUGGAAGGAACAAAUAAAUGUCUCAGGAUCUUGAUCUUCUGAUAAUAGAGAGGGAAGUUAACAGUUCCUGUAUUUACAGGAACUGUAAUAGAGAGGGAAGUUCCUGUAUUUACAGGAAGAAUUUUAGCAGGGUAAACUUCAAAACCAGUAAAGGCUUGCGUGUUGCUACCAUAAAAAAGAACAAGAAAGCCAACCACAAAAAUUAAACACUAAAUUGAGCAAAGAAAGAAAAGGCAAUAUUACUACUGAAGUAUUAGAGAGCACUCACUACUUCCCUAUUUUACCUGCAUGUAUAACCUAUGACGUUACUCAUUUAUUUCUCUGUAUGUCAUUUGAGAAGUGACUUAUGGAGAGAGAAUAGAUAAAAUAGC